CCUGACUCUCUGGAUCCCUUGUUUCCACAGCUGUAGAUAGAGCUGAGCAGGGUGGUGAAAGGUCCUAGCUGUGAGGUAAGUCUGCUUGGGGUUGGGGGGGUGGAGAUGGGCCAAUGUGGGAAACUAGGAUACGGAAGUAAAAACCCUUUUGUACCUGCUGGGGUGUCUGUGUCGAUGUCCCGCGGCAUGGUGGCAGCCAAAGGAAUGAAAGGAUUGUUUAGGCUCCUUUAUACUGUGUGGUUGAUGAGGAAACCUUGGCACAGGUCAGAAUUAGGCUGUUGGUCAUGUAAUUCCCCAGGAUAACUGAAGGUAUCCAUCUGGUCAGCCUUGCUUGCCCCCCGGAGCCCUGUGCACCCCAGGCAGACUGUAUGGAAGCACCCAUGUAUGGACACACGUGGACACUUGACCCUUCUAGGGGGAGGGAAUGGGAGUAACAGGAGUUCCCUGGGACUGACAGCUGGAGCAUUGCUUCCUUGUCGGGAUGGAUUUUUCCCCUCACAUUGCAUAACUGGUGUAUUGGGGCUUACACACUGAUUCCCACUCACAUUCCAAACUGUUGAGCUCAGGUAGGUGUUUACCUGCUUUGAACGCUGUUUAGCUCGAGGGUACCAGGUGGAACAGAGGCUUUAGAAUGAACUAGAGCCAGCCCCCCGGUCAUCAGUCACCUCUUUGGCUCUUAAAGAGCACCUCAGAGGGGCCGCUGUCACCAUGAGUUCCCUUCAGCAGGUAUUGUCAAAGGGUGGUGUUAAUGGCAGGUGCACAAAGAUCGUGCACCCCUUCAUUUCUAGCUCUGUUAUGUGCAAUAGUCUUAUUCCCAUGGAUCUUGGACCUGUGCUGCUGACAAAACAGCUUGUCUGUUGUUAAAUAAAAGCUUGGAUUUGGGUUCAGAUUUGGGGGGGUGGAGGGGGUGGCGUGCUGAGGCUGCACAGGGUGGGGUUGGUUGGCUGCAGCCUUCAUGCUCCAUCACGUGUGAGGGGCCGUGGUGUCCCACCAGGGAGCCUCUGCAGCAUCACAGUGGUUGGAAGAUUCCCUCUCUUAUUUCCUGGCUCUCACUAAGCGUUACACAGGUAGGAAAAGGUCACUGUUAGAAAUGGGGCUUUCAGGUUGGGAAUAAAGAACAGAAAGCAAGCUCAGUGGUUAGAAGCACCACUCUAAAACAUCCAAAAAUCACAUCUUCACCUUUGUUUUAUUUUAGCACAAGGUCAUAUUCCUGUACCACUGCAUGGAUUAGGACGUUGUUGUGCUGGUGGGCUCUGUGCUCCCAGUGCCAGCUGGGAGCUGCCUGAGGUGCAGGCAAUCAGUGCAGGGGGAGCACAUGGGUGUUCAGGUCUGACUGACCCUGGUGGGACUCGGUGGGACUUGCUUGAGCUGCAGCCCAACACAUCUCCUACCCAGAGCCAAACUGAGGAGGUGCUUCCACCCAGGGCACCCUCCAGUGGGGGCCUGUGCCAGGAGGGGAGUGAGGGGGGAACCUGUGGAUGUUAUCCCCAUUAGGGAAGAAGAGGAGUCCGAGCUGCUUUUUCUUUCCCCCCUUUUUAUUUAAUUUGGAGAGUGAGCUUUGUGGACCUUGGUAGAGAGGGGCUUUAAGGGGAGAUGUGUGAGGUGUUUCCCAGUGUGAGUAAUUGUGUCGCAGUGCUUCUCCCCUCCCCAGUAAAAAAGCCAUGAAACCGUGCUCCAGAUGUGCUGUGGGUGAAACCCCCGGGGCAGAGGUGCCUCCCGCACAGCCCCUCUCGCUGGUGGCUCAGGUGUGACCAGGGCACACAUGGACACCGAGCCAUGCACUGUCCACGAGCACCGGCUGCCAGCGGCAGGGUCCCCGCGGUGCCACCGUCCCCGUGCUGUGCCCUGCCCAACCUUUGAGCCCUCUUAAGGAGAAAACACUGUAUUGUCCAUAGCACUCCGAAGACUAAACCCUUUUGGGAUAACCACAGUAAUAAACUGUGAAUGGUAUUUUAUAAGUAGGUGUAGAUACGUACGCCGUUCUUUCGAGGUAAGGUACUAUGACAUAUGUAGCAUAAACUGGUACUGCUGUUAAAUGGGUCGAUUAUUAACUGAGCAGCUCUGCCUUUCUGAAACAUAAAAAAAUACAAAAACUACUGUAUGUUACUUUGAAAAUGUGAAUAGUAUUUUUAUAGCUUGUUAAAGACACAGCUAGUUGCAUUUGUAAAUAAGGAUAAUGUUGCUUUUAUUUUCCUUGUGGACACCAUUAUUUGGAACAUAAUUGUCCUUAGGGUUGAUUUGUAUAUAGGUAAUUUGCUUGUGAUUUAAGCCGCUCCUCCCCUUUUCUUUCUCUCCCUUCCCACCCUCUGGUUUUGGUUAGAAGUACCAUUCUUGGCAUUCUGUGUGAUUCUGUGUUUUAGCACUAUUGUGGUGUGUUCAGACUUUCUGCACUUGCUUACACAGUAGGGUAUGCCAGUUGUGUGUGGCGUAAUGUUACUUUAACCUUUCCUUUCUCAUAUGUUAGCUAUCAAGGAUUAUACACGGUUAAAUACUUACUGACCUGGGUUAAUAUUAGGUACAUAUUUUAGCAUAAUUUCCCUUCUUUUCAUGGUUUCUUGUUUUUUCUUUUUUCCUUCCCUCCCCUUUUGUCUUGUUUGGAGGCUGGGGAGAACCUGUGCAUCCUCUUCGUGUGGUUACAUCCCCUCCCCUGUGCAGCCCCCAGUUUCCCCUCACGGUCCUUGGGGUAGAGCUUUAUCUGUUUGUAGAGGCAAAUGUAGACUGCGACCCACCGUGCAUCAACCCGCGCUCAUCCCAGCUGAACAAUUUGAAACUGUUCUGCCUUUUUGUUACAUGAAUCUGUCAGAAAUAUAUUUUUAAUUUAAUAUAAAUGAAAUUCAAUAAAAUACAAA
rnacentral:lncRNA from 1 species